ACAAAGUCUUUAAUUCACUUCUCACCACAUAGCAAGAAGGACAAUAAAAAGGAAAAUGAAUUAGAAAAAAAACGACAGAAAGCCAGAAACCGACAUUCCAGGAAGUGCAGUGAAAGGAAUUUGUCUCAUGAGUUCUCACCUGGGCUUCAGUUGCAGAACCCAGGCCUUUUCCUGUGGCUGUCACGCAUUUCUCGAACACCGCCCUCCUCUGCUAAGCUGUUCUCGCAUUAACCUCUCCCAGUGCUUCCGAGAAGUUGCCUUUACAAUUCUUCUUGCAGCGACCUCUCAGCUUGUCCGGGCUCCAGCUGUCUGAGCACCAUGGAGACACGUUUCAUUCUCAGACUUUGGGUCUUUAACCAACUAGGUGCGGUGCUGGGUGAUUCGGUCCAGCCCAGGGAACUCCAGAUGUCAGGAGCUGAAGAUGGCUCCGUGACCCUCAACUGUUCUUAUGAAACCAGCUACACUGCUGGUGUCUAUCUCUACUGGUACCGUCAGUACCCGAACCGAGCCCCGCAGUACAUCCUCCAGAGAGGAGCAAAAGGAAGCACGUUCAGUGAUACCGCAGGUUUCGCCCAGGAGAGGUUUUCUUCCCAGACUGAUGACAGCUCCACAGUUCUGAACAUCACAGCCCUGGAGCUGGCGGACACAGCGGUGUAUCUCUGCGCCCUGCAGAGAGCACAGUGACAGAGCCACAUAGCAGAGAUGUACAAAAACCCUUCCAAUCCUGCUACAGGGGAUGGUACAGGCAUUAAAGUGGGCACCAGAGCCUUGAAAGAGAGUAUUCGCGCUGCUUAAAUAUACAACUCCCCUUAAAAGUUAAAUGUUUAUUUAAAGAGAUGUUUUAAACAUCGCCCUUGGAUAAGAUAAUGGGCCUGAUCUUUAAUUAGGAAACUAUUAACACCUCUUUUCCUGGGAUGAUCUAUAUCGGUGUAGUGUUUGUGUGGGAAUCAUCUGUGGUAAAACAAGGGUUAAAGGUGAGUACAAAUGUAGAUGAAGUGACCUAUUGUUGAAAAUACAAAUUGAGAUAAAAUGCGAAUGAAAAAUUUCCUUUAAAAACGGACAAUAGACUGUUGAAUUGAUCAUUUAUGGUUAGAUGGGGGUAAAAUACGCGAGUUAAAACGAGGGGGAAAUUGUUGGAAAUAUCUAUUUUUGAGUGGUGAAGGUAAAGCUGAAGUUACUCUCCCAGAGUCAAAUCAAUGCUCCUGUUGCAGAGACAGUUGCAUUUUCGGGUAGAUUUGCUUGGAAACUAUUUAAUUGCAAGACACUAUUCCGGAGACUAAACCACGA